rnacentral:rRNA from 1 species
ACCUACGGGACGCAGCAGUGGGGAAUAUUGCACAAUGGGGGGAACCCUGAUGCAGCGACGCCGCGUGAGUGAAGAAGUAUUUCGGUAUGUAAAGCUCUAUCAGCAGGGAAGAAAAUGACGGUACCUGACUAAGAAGCCCCGGCUAACUACGUGCCAGCAGCCGCGGUAAUACGUAGGGGGCAAGCGUUAUCCGGAUUUACUGGGUGUAAAGGGAGCGUAGACGGCAGAGCAAGUCUGAAGUGAAAGCCCGCGGCCCAACUGCG